CUUUGUAUCAUCUGCUGACGAUAUCCAGAUGAGCUGUAAUAUCCAGUUGACGACAGCUAAAUAUAUUGUCUGUUCAAGGCUAAUGUCGAAAAUCUCAAAAGCUAGUACCAAACACCAGUGAACUGAAGAAAUUAUAAAAUAAAUUUUAGAACUUAACUUAUUCAUACAAAAUAAUAUCAUUGGGUCUACAUCUGGACAGUCCAAUGAUUUUUUGAAAAAUUAAAAAAAUCGUCCAGAAAACCUGUACCAGUCUAUGUAUUUCGGAUGGAUAUUCCAUCCAUCUGAAAUACAUAGACUGGCCUGUACAAAAUAUUUUGCUUAAUACACGCUGGUUUCCAUUUGUGCAUGUUAGCGUUUAAUAAGCGGAAAAAUAUUUAAAUUUUGGCUGGAAUUCAAACCACAUUUCACAAAAAAUAGAGGACUUUUGUUUGGAAUGCAUUUACAUUUGUACGUUACUUACUAUGUAAUUGCACAUACAGCAAAAGCGAUAAAUUAUCAAUAUUCAAUUAUUCACGUUUUGAUCUGAACAAUAUGAAUCUUUAAAUUGCAAUCAAAAAUACACUGCCAAAGGGCUUGAAAGUAAUGCAUAAACGAGUGGAAUUAAAAAAAAUAUUUUAAAGCCCCAUAGAUCCGCAGAAAAAUUAAUCAAUUCAAUCAAAAUUAUAUGAUUUGAAUUCGAGCCAUAUCGACUUUCGUCAAAAAAAUUAAUGAAAAUACACAGAAAUUCGGUAGUUUGUCGUACUAGAGCUACUAUUCACAAGGUCGAUCUAGUAUUCUGACAAUGUUUUUUCGAAAGGGCAUCUAAAGACCUACAAACUGAGCGAUUAUAAUCAAAAUCAUAGAAUUUGAACUCGAGUUACAACGUACAAAUCAAGUUGUCUUGAAGUUCCCAUACAAAUUCUUAGGAAAAACCUCAUUUACAAGAAAAAUAAUUUUCUUGGACGAAUUUUCCAAAAUAUAGUUUUCGUGGAUUCGGUUCAGGACUCUGAAAAAAUAGGUUUCAAGUUGAUAGCUGAUACCUUACUUGAGUUAUUCAUGGUACAAACAAACAAACCGAAAACGUUUCUAAAGCUUGAUUAUACAUCAAGCAAUACGGUUGAUUUCGUUUCUGACAGUCAUUUUGGCAAAAUGGUCACUAAGUUCAAAAUUUAACUUUUAGAUUUAAACAAUUUAUUUUUUAUUAUUUUAACUUUAUUUUACAUUUUUACUGCCAAUUUUGUUACAUUUACUACUUAGUUUGUAUUUAACCACAAAAAUAUAUUUAAAAAUCAGAAAUGUAUUAGAUUGAAUCCAAGGGAAACAAAUGUAAAAAUUCUAGUUAAAUUUAGAAAAACAAUAAUAAUUUUAAGCGAUUGAAAACACAAAAUCAGUCUGCCAUUGGAGAAAUCAGCAUACCAAAAAGUCACACAGCGACAAACACACACAUUUGCUUCUAAUAAAAAAAUUGCGUUAAAAUGAUCAAUCAUCAUAUCCGCCAUUCAAACUGCUUUAAGAAACGAUAUCAUAUGGCACAUUUGAAAUGCUGCCACUCGAGUCCGUGAGGAGUCCAAGGCCUCUGUUCAUCGAUUACAUUUCCUUCAUCGUAUUUCACAUAUAAAUGUGGAUCGACUCAGGAAUGGAUCAUUCAAAGAUCAAUUUAAAUUGCUCAAGAUCAAAUAUUUCAUCGAAAAAUCGGAAAAUCACAUUUAAAAUGGACUCAUGAAACGAAAACUACUUCGCAAUAAAAAAAAAUAUGGCAUGUUCUAUCAAUUCAAUGGAGCUAUAUGAGCAGUUCGCCCUCUAAGGUGCAGAUUAGAAAUGAUAAUUAUUAUCUUCGAUUCCAUGGCAACAGAUCACUUGAAUCGAUCACAUAAGUGCCUCAAGAUCAAUUGUCAACGAUGGUAGAUAGAAUGAAGUCGCAUCGAAAAUAAACAACGAGCCCAACAUGCUUAUCCAGUUUAAAUGUAAAACCAGCACUUUUCAUCAUGAGUGUCAAUUCGAGAAAAUCGCAACAUUUCACUGAACGAAACUGAAGUCACUUUGAAAGGUCGCACAAUUGCAAACAGAAAAUAGGUUACUCUAGACAAAUAAAGUAAAUUAAAUUCAAAUCACAUAAAUAUCAAUAAAUGUUAAGUUUUUGAAAAUUCGCGAAAAUAAGAUUUUAUGAAAAAAUCCUUUAAUACACGGCAACGAUUGAUUCGUUUUUUGAAUUCAAACGAUUUUUUUUUCACAGAAGUUAAAUUAAGAUAAUUUUUGCAUCAAAGAAACUAUUACCUUUUAUCGAAAAAAGAUAUUUUUUUCAUUAAGAAAAAAAAAACACAAUUGUAGAAUUAAUAUCGUACAGGCAUCAUUGAAUCAAUCUAUAUUUUAAUCAUAUAUUUAAUUAUAUAAUCAAAAUUAUACGCCUUACGAUCACUUUACAUUGUAGUUCACUUUUGCCGAUUACGUUCACUUACAAAACUGACAUUUCUUUACUUUAUCUCGUUUGCAAAAAAGUGAAUAGUAUAAAUAAAUUAAUUCGACCAUAAUUAAUUAUUGGCUAAAUCGGCUAUUUUGGAUCGUUAGUAGUCUGAAUGCCAAGUUGGAUAUAAUCAUCUUAAUUUGUUUCAAAAAAAAAAAAAACACAAAAAAACUGUCAAAACGUUCCAAAUUAGCUAGUUGACUGAUCAGUCAAUAUUUUUACACACAGGACCAUUAUUAUAAGUUUCACUGUUAUUUGAUAGGAAAAUUUAAGAAAGUUCAAUAAAACCAUGAAGUUUGUUGAUGUAAA